AUUUAUUGAACUCUACUGCCGCUACAUAGGCCGUAUAUAAAUUAGAACAAUAGAUUAUUUUUCACGUAUUUUGAAAGGGAAAACAUUAAAGAUGACUAGAACAGCUCUACUGGUAUUCUUCAUGACAAUAAUGGUCGCUCAAAUAUAUGGAAAGUCAAUUACAAGAUCGCAACCGGAUGUAGAGACUGAAUGUUGGGAACUUUGCUCUAUGGACUUCGAGAAAUGUCGAGAGUUUUAUAUAUGUCCAAAGAUACAUGACGAAUUCGGCGAGGCUCAACAAUGUUCAUCCUGUGCUAAAAGGUCUAUUGCCUGUCUGGGAAAAUGUGUUAAUAAGAGAUAAGGUUGAAAUAAAUUCUUUUUUAAAACAUCGGCACUGUUGCCUUACCUGUUGAGAAAAUAAAUUAUCAUCAAUCAAA